UACAGAGGUCCCAAGCGUUGUUCGGAUUCACUGGGCGUAAAGGGUACGUAGGCGGUCGGGUAAGUCUGACGUGAAAUCUCCGGGCCUAACCCGGAAACUGCGUCGGAUACUAUCCGGCUAGAGGAUUGGAAGGGAGACUGGAAUACUUGGUGUAGCAGUGAAAUGCGUAGAUAUCAAGUGGAACACCAGUGGCGAAGGCGAGUCUCUGGACAAUUCCUGACGCUGAGGCACGAAAGCCAGGGGAGCAAACGGG
rnacentral:rRNA from 1 species